GAUGAAGAACGUAGUGAAUUGCGAUAUGUAAUGUGAAUUGCAGAAUUCAGUGAAUCAUCGAAUCUUUGAACGCACCUUGCGCCCUUUGGCCAUUCCGAAGGGCAUGCCUGUUUGAGUAUCAUGAACACCUCAACUCUUUAUGGUUUUCCAUGAUGAGCUUGGACUCUGGGGGUUUUGCUGGCUCACAGUCGGCUCCUCUGAAAUGAAUCAGCUUACCAGUGUUUGGUGGGUAUCAUAGGUGUGAUAACUAUCUACGCUUGUGGUUUUUCCACCAGGUAACCUUCAGCAGUGGAGGUUCGCUGGAGCUCAUAGAUGUCUCUCCUCAGUGAGGACAGCCCUUUGAAUGUUUGAUCUCAAAUCAGGUAGGACUACCCGCUGAACUUAAGCAUAUCAAUAAGCGGAGGA
rnacentral:misc_RNA from 1 species